UGAAAGUCGUCAAGGCCAUAUACAACCCAACUAGACAUACUGUGUACAGACCUCUAAUAGAAACAUAACUGUACAAAGACGGGACUGGACCACGUCACAUCCAUAUACGUAUAUAUAUACAAAUGUAUCAUACCAAAAUCAAAAGCAGCUCCGGAUCAAAUGGAGCACGCCAACUCUCGCUGAUCAGGGAUUCUAAGAAGGGGGACCGUUAGUUUGCCUACCUGCACCUGCGGGUAUGAAAUGAAGGUCCCGUGAAAUAGGGCGUCAGUAUGAAAAAUGUACUGAGUAUGUAAGGCAUGAAAAUAAGUACGUAAAAGACAUAGAUGAAACAUGGAAUACAGAAAUACCUUUAAAUCUGAAUAACUCUGUAAAUUUUGAAACGUUUAUAAUAUCAUGCACAUACGUAUAAAUGGCAUACCAUGCAUAGGUAUGGGUGUACAUAAUAUCAUCAAGCCACUGAGAGCAUCCCAUCAUAUCAUCUCGGCCACUGUGGGCAAUAUCACCAACAUAUACCAGCUGAUUAGGUGGUGGUAUAUAUAUAACGCCAUAACCUCUUCCCAUAUUACAUAUACAUAUACAUACAUAUGUACAUGUAUAUAACACCGUUUGAAUCAUAUUUCAGUCACUGUGGGCAACAUCAUCAUUAUAUACCAACUGAUCAGGUGGUGGUACGUAUAUAACACCGUAACCUUUUUCCAUAUCCCAUGUCAAUGCACAUGUAUAAAUGAGUGAAAUGCAUGAAAAAUACAUAAUAAUCUCGAUAUUCCUUCAGGAUAAACUUUUCCAACUGCGUAUUAUUCUGAAACCCAUGAAUAGAAGAUAAUAAUAAUUCUCGUGGGUAAUAAAAAAUAUAGACACCCAUACUAUUUCUAUGAAUAGAGUAAUUUAUAGAAACUGUGUAUUUGCUCGUUUCUUCAGUAUAAUUUGGAUCAUGCCAAAAGAAAGAAGGGAUAGCCUUAACAUACCUAUUCCUGGAAUUAUUCGAAUGAAAUGAAGCUUCUGCUUCAGUGAAAUAUGUUGAACGAGAUUUGCUUGAAUUCUUUGAAAUUUUUGGAACGAAUCUGUUCUGCUUUUCACGUCUAGGUGUAGUUAGCUCCCAACGUUAUUUGUUCUUAUUGUUAAAAAGAGAUAAAACUUUAGAUGCAAAGUUUGGAAUUUGCUAUUGUAAGUAUUCUGUUCCUAAUGGCCAACGUUUGGAAUUGAAUUUCCAAGAGCAAGAACAAUCUUCUGUUCUUU
rnacentral:lncRNA from 1 species